rnacentral:rRNA from 1 species
AACGAACGCUGGCGGCAUGCCUAACACAUGCAAGUCGAACGAGACCUUCGGGUCUAGUGGCGCACGGGUGCGUAACGCGUGGGAAUCUGCCCUUGGGUACGGGAAUAACAGUUAGAAAUGACUGCUAAUACCGUAUAAUGACUUCGGUCCAAAGAUUUAUCGCCCAGGGAUGAGCCCGCGUAGGAUUAGCUUGUUGGUGAGGUAAAAGCUCACCAAGGCGACGAUCCUUAGCNGGUCUGAGAGGAUGAUCAGCCA